ACGAACGCUGGCGGCGUGCUUAACACAUGCAAGUCGAACGGAAAGGCCCUGCUUUUGUGGGGUGCUCGAGUGGCGAACGGGUGAGUAACACGUGAGUAACCUGCCCUUGACUUUGGGAUAACUUCAGGAAACUGGGGCUAAUACCGGAUAGGAGCUCCUGCUGCAUGGUGGGGGUUGGAAAGUUUCGGCGGUUGGGGAUGGACUCGCGGCUUAUCAGCUUGUUGGUGGGGUAGUGGCUUACCAAGGCUUUGACGGGUAGCCGGCCUGAGAGGGUGACCGGCCACAUUGGGACUGAGAUACGGCCCAGACUCCUACGGGAGGCAGCAGUGGGGAAUAUUGCACAAUGGGCGGAAGCCUGAUGCAGCAACGCCGCGUGCGGGAUGACGGCCUCCGGGUUGUAAACCGCUUUCGCCUGUGACGAAGCGUGAGUGACGGUAAUGGGUAAAGAAGCACCGGCUAACUACGUG
rnacentral:rRNA from 1 species